UUCCGGUUGAUCCUGCCGGAGGCCACUGCUAUCGGGGUCCGACUAAGCCAUGCGAGUCAAGGGGGUGUCCCUCUGGGACACCACCGGCGGACGGCUCAGUAACACGUCGGUAACCUACCCUCGGGAGGGGGAUAACCCCGGGAAACUGGGGCUAAUCCCCCAUAGGCCUGAGGUACUGGAAGGUCCUCAGGCCGAAAGGGGCUCUGCCCGCCCGAGGAUGGGCCGGCGGCCGAUUAGGUAGUUGGUGGGGUAACGGCCCACCAAGCCGAAGAUCGGUACGGGCUGUGAGAGCAGGAGCCCGGAGAUGGACACUGAGACACGGGUCCAGGCCCUACGGGGCGCAGCAGGCGCGAAACCUCCGCAAUGCGGGAAACCGCGACGGGGGGACCCCGAGUGCCGUGGCAUCGCCACGGCUUUUCCGGAGUGUAAAAAGCUCCGGGAAUAAGGGCUGGGCAAGGCCGGUGGCAGCCGCCGCGGUAAUACCGGCGGCCCGAGUGGUGGCCGCUAUUAUUGGGCCUAAAGCGUCCGUAGCCGGGCCCGUAAGUCCCUGGCGAAAUCCCACGGCUCAACCGUGGGGCUUGCUGGGGAUACUGCGGGCCUUGGGACCGGGAGAGGCGGGGGGUACCCCUGGGGUAGGGGUGAAAUCCUAUAAUCCCAGGGGGACCGCCAGUGGCGAAGGCGCCCCGCUGGAACGGGUCCGACGGUGAGGGACGAAGGCCAGGGGAGCAAACCGGAUUAGAUACCCGGGUAGUCCUGGCUGUAAAGGAUGCGGGCUAGGUGUCGGGUGAGCUUCGGGCUCGCCCGGUGCCGUAGGGAAGCCGUUAAGCCCGCCGCCUGGGGAGUACGGCCGCAAGGCUGAAACUUAAAGGAAUUGGCGGGGGAGCACUACAAGGGGUGGAGCGUGCGGUUUAAUUGGAUUCAACGCCGGA
rnacentral:rRNA from 1 species